GGCCAAGGGCAAGCUCAGGUCCUAACACAUGCAAGUCCAGGCCUAACACAUGCAAGUCCAUGCCUACCUAUGCAAGUGGGAUAACUUCAGGAAACCGGAGCUAAUACCGGAUAAUAUUUUGAACCGCAUGGUUCAAAAGUGAAAGACGGUCUUGCUGUCACUUAUAGAUGGAUCCGCGCUGCAUUAGCUAGUUGGUAAGGUAACGGCUUACCAAGGCAACGAUGCAUAGCCGACCUGAGAGGGUGAUCGGCCACACUGGAACUGAGACACGGUCCAGACUCCUACGGGAGGCAGCAGUAGGGAAUCUUCCGCAAUGGGCGAAAGCCUGACGGAGCAACGCCGCGUGAGUGAUGAAGGUCUUCGGAUCGUAAAACUCUGUUAUUAGGGAAGAACAUAUGUGUAAGUAACUGUGCACAUCUUGACGGUACNUAAUUCUAGGAUAAGCCACGGGCUAAANUANGUGCCCAGGCAGCCCGCGGUUAAUACCGUAGGGUGGCAAGCGUUAUCCGGAAUUUAUUUGGGCGUAAAGCGCGCGUAGGCGGUUUUUUAAGUNUGAUGUGAAAGCCCACGGCUCAACCGUGGAGGGUCAUUGGAAACUGGAAAACUUGAGUGCAGAAGAGGAAAGUGGAAUUCCAUGUGUAGCGGUGAAAUGCGCAGAGAUAUGGAGGAACACCAGUGGCGAAGGCGACUUUCUGGUCUGUAACUGACGCUGAUGUGCGAAAGCGUGGGGAUCAAACAGGAUUAGAUACCCUGGUAGUCCACGCCGUAAACGAUGAGUGCUAAGUGUUAGGGGGUUUCCGCCCCUUAGUGCUGCAGCUAACGCAUUAAGCACUCCCGCCUGGGGAGUACGACCGCAAGGUUGAAACUCAAAGGAAUUGACGGGGACCCUGCACAAGGCGGUGGAGCAUGUUGNUUNAAUUCGGAAGCAANNCGAAUGAAUACCUUUUCACCANAUCUUGACAUCCUUUGACAACUCUAGAGAUAGAGCCUUCCCCUUCGGGGGACAAAGUGACAGGUGGUGCAUGGUUGUCGUCAGCUCGUGUCGUGAGAUGUUGGGUUAAGUCCCGCAACGAGCGCAACCCUUAAGCUUAGUUGCCAUCAUUAAGUUGGGCACUCUAAGUUGACUGCCGGUGACAAACCGGAGGAAGGUGGGGAUGACGUCAAAUCAUCAUGCCCCUUCUGAUUUGGGCUACACACGUGCUACAAUGGACAAUACAAAGGGCAGGGAAACCGCGAGGUCAAGCAAAUCCCAUAAAGUUGUUCCAGUUCGGACACUAGUAAGCACAUGGAUUACACGAAGAAGGACAGGCUUAACAUCAUACAUUAGGCCGGUACAUUGGUCCG
rnacentral:rRNA from 1 species